UACAGAGGGGGCAAGCGUUGUUCGGAUUUACUGGGCGUAAAGAGCGCGCAGGCGGUCGUGCAAGUCGCGUGUGAAAGCCCCCGGCUCAACUGGGGAGGGUCACGCGAUACUGCUCGACUCGAAGGCAGGAGAGGGAAGUGGAAUUCCCGGUGUAGUGGUGAAAUGCGUAGAUAUCGGGAGGAACACCAGUGGCGAAGGCGACUUCCUGGCCUGUUCUUGACGCUGAGGCGCGAAAGCUAGGGUAGCAAACGGG
rnacentral:rRNA from 1 species